rnacentral:rRNA from 1 species
AGUGAACGCUGGCGGUAGGCCUAACACAUGCAAGUCGAACGGCAGCACCGUAAGAGCUUGCUCUUACGGGUGGCGAGUGGCGGACGGGUGAGGAAUACAUCGGAAUCUACUUUUUCGUGGGGGUUAACGUAGGGAAACUUACGCUAAUACCGCAUACGACCUACGGGUGAAAGCAGGGGAUCUUCGGACCUUGCGCGAUUGAAUGAGCCGAUGUCGUAUUAGCUAGUUGGCGGGGUAAUGGCCCACCAAGGCGACGAUCCGUAGCUGGUCUGGGAGGAUGAUCAGCCACACUGGAACUGAGACACGGUCCAGACUCCUACGAGAGGCAGCAGUGGGGAAUAUUGGACAAUGGGGGCAAGCAUGAUCCAGCCAGACCGCGUGGGUUAAGAAGACCUUCGGGUUGGAAAGCCCUUUUUCUGGUAAAGAAAAGCAGCAGGUUAAUACCCCGCUGUUCUGACGGUACCCAGAGAAUAAGCACCGGCUAACUUCGUG